AGUCCCUCAGGACUGAGAAUGGGCAGAGGACAGGAAAGAUGGUGACAAGGACUUAAGAUUCUUCACUUUGUCCUGUAAAUGUCUGUGGGGGGCUAAAAGGGGGACUAAAGACUCGGCCUCUCUGCUUGCAUUUUACACCAACCUUCUUUGCUCCAAAGUCACCCUGGAUUCCAGGAAAAAGGGAUGAUGGAUGGACCUCAUGUGAAGAGUAGAGUCCACCUCAGCUUCCCCAGCUCAGGCAACAGCAACUUCCUUAUUGGACAAGGCCCUGUGGGACCAGCCUGAGAUAAGAAUGGGCAGGGCACACCUGACCAAGACCUCCUGCAUUGGCAGCUGUGCAAAGCCUCCAGCUGUGUAAGCUCCUCACACUGGACCUCAGUCCCCUUUCUGUAAAUCCUCAAAGUCCUUGUCAGCCCUGAAGACAGGGCUAAGGACAUGGGUCCCCGCAUCUUUCCAGAGUAGAUGAUCAAAGUUCCUUUUCAAGUUUUUUAAAACAAAAAAACAAAAUAAAAAACCAUUCAAUAUCAUUAGCCACAAGGAGUAACUGCAGGUCAAUACCACCAUGAGAAACCAUCUCACCCCAGUUAGAAUGGCUGUGAUCGAGACAGAGCAAAACAUCGUGGUGAGUAUGUGGAGAAAAAAAGACCUUAAUGCCUUAUAUGUAAAAAGAUGAACUGAAAGUAGAAGAGGAAGUAUUCUGGAGGGGGAAUAGAAGGAAGGAGAAGCCAGGGUAGAGGUAGGACAGAGAAAAUCAAAGCACAAUAAUAGACACAUGAAGAUAAUGGCAUGAGGAAGCCCAUCAAUGUGCUCCAUCAAUCUGCAGUAGAAAUUAUGUUAUCUUCCAGCUUUAAAUCUUAAUGUUGUUGUUGUUGUUAUUAUUAUUAUUAUUAUUAUUAUUAUUAUUAUUAUUAUUAUUAUUAUUUGGUACCAGAAAUUGAAGUCAGGGGCAAUCAAACACAGAGCCACAUUACCAGCCCUAUUUUCUAUUUUAUUUCUAGUCACGGUCUCACUGAGUUGCAUAAUGCCUUGCUAAGUUGCUGAGGCUGACUUUGAACUCACAACCCUCCUUUCUCAGCCUCCUGAGCUGCUAGGAUUACAGGUGUGCACCACUGUGCCCAGCUAGAU
rnacentral:lncRNA from 1 species